AUCUGUAUAAAAGAAAUUAUCAACAACAUUUUAAAGAAAUAACCCUGAAAAGAAACAAAUGGUUCAGAGAACAAAAGCAGCAUAAACAUCAUUUAAAAUGGAAUAGCUAGAUAGCUAGAUAGAUAGAUAGUUGUAAACUAUUAUAAUUAUGCUCAAAUUGUAUGAAAAAUUAUAUUUAAAUUAAGAAAUGCCUACUGUAAAUUAAAAUCUAGAAAAGGUUGUAAAAAUAGUUUUAGUUUACCUUUAGAACUAUAGAUUAAUUACAAUACAGAAAGAACACUAGAUGUCGACUUUUCAAGAUUUUGAGGUUUUUGUUCACAAUAACCCCAAGGCAUAAACCCAAAGGAGUUAAGCAUACGGCGUUGAAUUACAAGACACAGAGAGAGAGUAUACGCGUUACUCAUUUGGGCUUCUGCCUCAGGGUUAUUGUUAACGAAAAAAACCUAAAUCUUGAAAAGACGACAUCUAGUGUUCUAUCUGUUAUUGUUAAUUAACCUAUGUUUAGAACUAUGUAAAUAAAAAAAUGUAAACAAUUCUUAGCCAAUUUAUAACUACUUCUUAAUAUGUGUUAAGGAGUUGGAGGCUGAAAUCACACGCUUUACAGCUUUGAAAUGGUCAAACUCGAAACUACAAAAAAAGCAUUAUAAAGCAUGAGGAAUAGUUAAAGCCAUGUAAAACUAACUACAAUAAAUCGGAAUAUUUUGAUCUUUUAUGAUUAAAAAUGCGUCAAAAUAUCAAAAUUAUUUAUUCCUGUAAUAAAAUUGUGUAAUUGUAAUAAUAUUGUGUAACACGAUAUUGAUAAACAUGAGUUACGUAACAUGAUUAAAAUAUGCAUUGUGAUUAGAUUAACUACAUUUAUAUCUAUCCAUUUUAAUCUUCUAAAUAUGUAAAUUCAUCUUGAACUAUGCUGUAAACGUGUGUGGAGAUAGCUUAAAUAUGUUAUAUCUAUCCUAGCUAACCUUAUACAUAUGUAUAUUAUACUUAAACUACGCUGUAUAUAUAUAUCAACAUAGAACUUGUAAUUACAUCGAUUCACAUUAACUUGUAACAUAUCUAAAAUAAAUUUGUUGAUAUAGAGA